GUGUUUGCUUUAGCAGCACAUAUACUAAAAUUGGCAUGAUGCAGAGAAGAACACACCCCUGUGCAAGGAUGGCAAGCAAAUUCGUGAAGCAUUCUGUAUUAAA
ensembl:snRNA U6 U6 spliceosomal RNA